rnacentral:rRNA from 1 species
AGUGAACGCUGGCGGUAGGCCUAACACAUGCAAGUCGAACGGCAGCACAGUAAGAGCUUGCUCUUACGGGUGGCGAGUGGCGGACGGGUGAGGAAUACAUCGGAAUCUACUUUUUCGUGGGGGAUAACGUAGGGAAACUUACGCUAAUACCGCAUACGACCUACGGGUGAAAGCAGGGGAUCUUCGGACCUUGCGCGAUUGAAUGAGCCGAUGUCGGAUUAGCUAGUUGGCGGGGUAAAGGCCCACCAAGGCGACGAUCCGUAGCUGGUCUGAGAGGAUGAUCAGCCACACUGGAACUGAGACACGGUCCAGACUCCUACGGGAGGCAGCAGUGGGGAAUAUUGGACAAUGGGCGCAAGCCUGAUCCAGCCAUACCGCGUGGGGGAAGAAGGCCUUCGGGUUGGAAAGCCCUUUUGUUGGGAAAGAAAAGCAGCAGGUUAAUACCCCGCUGUUCUGACGGUACCCAAAGAAUAAGCACCGGCUAACUUCGUG